rnacentral:rRNA from 1 species
UACGUAGGGACCAAGCGUUGUUCGGAUUUACUGGGCGUAAAGGGCGCGUAGGCGGCGUGACAAGUCACUUGUGAAAUCUCCGGGCUUAACUCGGAACGGCCAAGUGAUACUGUCGUGCUAGAGUGCAGAAGGGGCAAUCGGAAUUCUUGGUGUAGCGGUGAAAUGCGUAGAUAUCAAGAGGAACACCUGAGGUGAAGACGGGUUGCUGGGCUGACACUGACGCUGAGGCGCGAAAGCUAGGGGAGCAAACAGG